rnacentral:lncRNA from 1 species
AUGCCCACUUGGAUUUUUUUCUUUUUUACCCUGAAGCUUCCUAUGCUUCUGUGCAAAUUGUUCACCCAUGAGUGUUUUGUUUCUUUCAUAGACAAUGUAUACCAGGAUGGGGAUAUGGUGAUCAGUGCAUUCUUACCACUUUAUACCUAUCAAACCUCCCAACACACUGAAGGGGCAGAGAACAAAGACGUCAGUGCACGGAUUGCCCCACAAAACUACCAAUUUGUGAUGGCCUUAAUUUUUGCCAUAGAGGAGAUCAACAGAAACCCCAUACUUUUACCUAACAUGACGCUUGGAUAUAAUAUUCACAGUGCUGGGGCCAUUGGAAGUGAGACUGUAGUAAGUUUCCUCAAGUGGCUCACAGGGCAGGACAGACUCAUUCCUAACUAUACAUGCAAAACCAAGGAAAAAUCUGUGGCUGCAAUCACAGGAACAACAUGGGAAAUUUCUUCCUUAAUUGGCAUAUUUUUGAGUCUUUAUAAAUAUCCACAGCUGAGCAUUGGACCUUUUGAACAAAGUAUGAAUAACUCUGAGGAGUUUCCUUUUUUGUAUCAGAUGGCUGCCAAAGAAUCUUCUUUGGCCUUAGGCAUGGUCUCAUUGUUUGUCCAUUUCAAAUGGAAUUGGGUGGGGCUGGUCAUCUCAGAGGAUGAGAAUGGUGUUAACUUUGUCACAGACUUGAUUCCACAAAUGGAAAGAAACACAGUCUGUGUAGCCUUCAUGGAAUUUAUCCCAGUUACUCACAUGAUGGACCUGGAAAACACUUAUGAAUACCCUAUUCGGAUUAUGAGAAACCCAGCCAAAGUUGUUAUCAUUUAUGCUAACACUGACUCUUCCUUAGGUGUGCUGUUUAGAAGAUGGGAAUAUAUACUUCUAUGGAGAAUCUGGGUUACCACAUCACAAUGGGAAGUCGUCACUUCUAUGAGACAUUUAAUUCUUGACUCAUUCCAUGGGACUCUCAUCUUUUCAAAACGCCAGGGUGAUAUUUCUACUUUUAAAGAGUUUGUAAAGUCAGUGAGACCUUCCAAAUACCCAGAUGACAUUUUUCUUGCAAGACUCUGGGAGAUUUACUUUGGUUGUGCAAUAUCUAAUGCUACCUGUAAAUCAUUAAAAAAUUGUUCAUCUAGAGGUAACUUGGGGUUGUUACCUUGGUACCUCUUUGACAUAGCUGUAAGUACUGGCAGUUACCAUGUAUACAAUGCUGUAUAUGCUGUGGCCCACACCAUGCACAAGAUGCUUAUUCAAGAAAUAGACAUAGAAGGAAUGAAAAAUGGAGGCAGCAUGGAUUUUCCCCCCUUGAAGCUGAACUCCCUGCUGAAGAACAUUAAAUUCAUGAAUCCUGGUGGAGAUCCGAUAUCUUUAAAUCCUUCAGAGAGCUUGCACAUAGAUUAUGACAUUCUGAACUUCUGGGAUUUUCCACAAGGUCUUACAUAUAAAGUGAAAGUAGGAACAUUUUCUCCAUAUUUUCCACCUGGUCAACAAUUGUCGAUUUCUGAGGACAGAAUAGAGUGGAGUAUAGGAGUGGAGCAACAGAUUCCUGUCUCUGUAUGCAGUGAAAUUUGUGGUCCUGGAUUCAGAAAAUCUCUUCAGGAAGGGAAAGCUGCUUGCUGUUUUGAUUGUGUCCUAUGUUCAGAAAAUGAAAUUUCCAAUGGAACAGGCAAGUGCCAGUGUGUGAAAUGUACAGAGGACCAGUAUGCCAACACAGAUCGGACAGUCUGCAUCCAAAAAGCUGUGACAUUUCUGGCUUUGGAAAACCCCUUGGGGAUGACACUCGCCAGCAUGGCCCUAUGCUUUUCUAUCCUCACCUCAUUUGUCCUGGGGAUUUUUGUAAAGCACCAAAACACUCCUGUGGUGAAGGCAAAUAACAGAACUCUCAGCUACAUCUUGCUCAUCUCCCUCACUUUCUGCUUUCUUUGCUCAUUUCUAUUCAUUGGUCAGCCCAACGCAGUCACCUGCAUCCUGCAGCAGACCACAUUUGGAGUUGUUUUCACAGUGGCUGUUUCUACUGUCUUGGCAAAAACCAUUACAGUCAUCCUGGCCUUCAAGAGCACAGCUCCAGGACGAAGGUUGAGGUGGUUGCUUAUAUCAGGAGCACCGAAAUUCAUCAUUCCCAUCUGUACACUAAUACAAACUGUCUUCUGUGGAGUCUGGCUGAGAAUAUCCCCUCCAUUUGUGGACACAGAUGCACAAUCUGAACAUGGUCAUAUCAUUAUUAUGUGCAACAAGGGCUCAGUAACAGCCUUCUACUGUGUGCUGGGAUACCUGGGAGCUCUGUCCCUAGUGAGCUUCACAGUAGCUUUUAUGGCCAGGAACCUGCCUGACGCCUUCAAUGAAGCCAAGUUCUUGACCUUCAGCAUGCUGGUAUUCCUCAGUGUUUGGGUCACAUUUCUCCCUGUUUACCACAGUACUAAAGGAAAGAUCAUGGUGGCUGUGGAGGUCUUCUCCAUCUUGGCCUCCAGCACAGGUCUUCUAGGUUGUAUCUUUAUCCCCAAAUGUUAUAUUAUUCUUGCAAGACCUGAAAUGAACUCAUUGAAAUGCAGACGAAAUAGAGUUCAGUGGAAAUAA